GCCUCGAGCCAUCAUGCCUGGCUAAUUUUUGCAUUUUUUGUAGAGAUGGGGGUCUCACAGUGUUGUCCAGGCUGGUCUUAAACUCCUUGCUUCAAUAGAUCCUCACACUCCAGCCUCCCAAAAUGUGAUUACAGGCUGAGUCACCACGCCCAGCAUGGUUUGUUUUUUUUUUUUUGUAAGCAAAAUUGACGUACAUACUGGAGGUACAAUUCUGUAGCUGGCCUUCUUUACAGAGUUUAGAAUAAAUGUCUUUCCAUGUCAAGUUUUCAUUUACAUCCUUUGUAAUAGUUGCAAAAUAUUCCAUUUUAUAGCUGUAUCUUAAUUGUGGAUUAAGGUUGGAGUGCAGUGGCACUAUCAUGGCUUAGUCCAGCCUCAGCCUUCUAGGUUCAAGUAAUCUUCCCACCUCAGCCUCCCAAGAAGCUAGGACUACAGGGACCCACCACCACACCUAGCUAAUUAAAAAAAAAAAUUGUAGAGAUGGAGUCUCAGUGUGUAGCCCAGUCUCAAGUGACCCUCCCUCCUUGGCCUCCCAAAGUGCUGAGAUUGCUGGAAGAGUGUCUUCAUCUCUGCAUCCCUAGUGCAACAGAGCAUGAUAAAAAUUCAAUAAAUAUUUAUUGCAGAGUCUUGAUGUCUUUUGGGAAAGGAACUCUAUGGUUACCUUUACUCUAAGAUUAGAAGGGUGUUACUGAUUCUUACCUCAGAGAAGAGAAUGUCAUGGAGACAAAAUGACCUGCUUAGAGUUCUGCGCCCCCCAGCAUGGAGAGCAGAGCGCAAAGAUUUCCUCCAGACUCCCACAUUCUCCCUUGGAAUCCAAGAACUUGUCUACUAUCACAACACUUUAGUACCCACUUCUCCUAAGGAGGCAGCAGAAACCAAGGUAAUCACAAUGGUCAACAGCAGCGAAGGCAGCACUUUC
rnacentral:antisense_RNA from 1 species